GGGGAGGGUCCGGGUGGGCAUCUCCUCUCGGUGGAGGCUCUGGUGUGGGACGCAGAUCCCCCUCCGUUUGGGGCUCCCGCCACUUUCGUGGAACCAGACCGUGGAUCCUCGCCGGGGGCUCCGGACCCCAGAGGAACCGGACUGGGAACCCCCACUGGAGGCUCCGAACCGUCGCUGGAGGCUCCGGACUGGCGACCGUCGCUGGAGGCUCCGGACUGGAGACCGUCACUGCAGGCUCCGUGCCAUGGAUCGUCACUACAGGCUCCGUGCCAUGGAUCAUCACUACAGGCUCCGGGCCAUGGAUCAUCACUACAGGCUCCGGGCCAUGGAUCAUCACUGGAGGCUUCAUGCCAUGGAUCAUCACUGGAGGCUUCCGACCAUGGAUCAUCACUGGAGGCUUCGUACGUGGAGCCGGAACAGGUCUCACCGGACUGGGGAGAUGCACUGCAGGCCGGGUGCGCAGAGCAGGCAUAGGAUAUACUGGGCCGUGGAGGCGCACUGGAGACCAGGAGCACUGCGCCGGCACAACCCGUCUUGGCUGAAUGCUCAUUUUAGCCCGGCAAAUGCGGGACGCAGGCAACGUGCGCAUCGGGCUGUGAAUGCACGGCAUAACACGGUGCCUAACUGGUCACAUGCUCCCCACGGUAAGCGCGGGGAGUUGGCUCAGGUCUCAACCCUGACUCCGCCAAUCUCCCCAUGUGCCCCCCAAAAAAUAUUUUUGGGACUGCCUCUCGGGCUUCCGUUGUUGCCGUGCUAGUUCCUCGUAGUGUCGCCGUUCCUCCUUUGCUGCCUCUAUCUCCUCCCUUGGACGUCGAUAUUCCCCAAUCUGCGUCCAGGGCCCUUUGCCGUCCAGGAUCUCCUCCCAUGUCCAACUCUCCUGGCCACGCUGCUUGGUCCGUUUUUGGUGGGAUGUUCUGUCACGUUCGUCGUAUGAAGGAGACCAAGGUGCAGCGUGGUUGGCGAACAUUUUUUCCUUUCAUUAAAAUGAACACCGUCAACAUUACAAAAUACAAAAACAAGAACGUAAAGUCUUGCAGGCUUCUAAGCAGCUAUACAAAAACAACAUCCCACAAUCACAGGUGGGAAAAUGGCUGCCUAAGUAUGAUCCCCAAUCAGAGGCAACGAUACACAGCUGCCUCUGAUUGGGAAUCAUACCCGGCCAACAAAGAAAUAGAAAUCUAGAAUGUUCCCACCCGAGUCACACCCUGACCUAACCAAACAUAGAGAAUAAUAAGGAUCUCUACGGUCCGGGCAUGACAGACGGAGUAUAAAACACCAUAGAUUAGUUUCAACAAAAAACAUUAGUGAUUUAGAUGGAACAUAAAACACCUGAGAUUAAGAUGGAAUUUAAAACUCCAAAGAUGUUGAUGGAAUUUAAAACACCAGAUAUUUAGAUGGAAUAUCAUAUAAAACGCCUGAUAUUUAGAUAUUUUUACAUUUUUUACAUUUUAGUCAUUUAGCAGACGCUCUUAUCCUGCGCGACUUACAGCAGUGAAUGCAUAUAUUUCAGACAUUUGUUCUCCGUAGAUAGAAUAUAAAACACCAGAGAUUAGUUUCAACAUAAAACACUAGAGAUUUAUCUGGAAUAUAAAACGGCUGAUAUUUAUUUGGAAUAUAACACACCAGAGAUUUUGAUGGAAUUUAAAACACCAGAGAUUUAGAUGGAAUAUAAAAUGUCUGAUAUUUAGUUGGAAUAUAAAACACCAGAGAUUUAGAUGGAAUUUAAAACUCCAGAGAGUUUUAUGGAAUUUAAAACACCAGAGAUUUAGAUGGAAUAUAAAAUGCCUGAUAUUCAGUUGGAAUUUAAAACACCAGAGAUUUUGAUGGAAUUUAAAACACCAGAGAUGUAGAUGGAAUAUAAAGUACAAGUGUCACGGCUGUUCAAAGGAUCGGACCAAAAUGCAGUGUGUUCGUAGUUCCACAUAUUUAUUUAUUCUGUGAAACUAAAUGCAAUACACUAAAUACUUGAAACACAAAAAAAAAAAACGUGACGCAGAGGAAAACACACUACUCAAAAGAUAAUCACCCACAAAAACAGGUGGGACAACCAUCAACAUAAAUAUGACCUCCAAUUAGAGGUAACGAGGAUCAGCUGCCUCCAAUUGGAGAUCAACCCAAACAACCCCAACAUAGAAAUAGACAAACUAGAACUUAAACAUAGAAAUAGACAACAUAGAAAAAUCACCCAAAACACCCCGUCAUGCCCUGACCACUCUACUAUAGAAAAUGACCGCGUACAAGGGUCAGGGCGUGAAAACAAGAGAUUUAGAUUCAACUUAAAACACUAGAUAUUUAGAUGGGAUAUAAAACACCAGAUAUUUAGAUGGAAUAUUAAACACCAGAGAUUUAGAUGGAAUAUAUAUUAACAGAGAUUCAGACAGAAUCUAAAACACCAGAGAUUAGUUUCAACAACAAACAUUAGUGAUUAAGAUGAAAUAUAAAACACCAGAUAUUUAUAUUCAACAUAAAACACCAGAAAUUUAGAUGGAAUAUAAAACACCAGAGAAUAAGAUUCAACAUAAAACAAUAGAGAUUUAGAUUAAACAUAAAAUACUAAAGAUUUAUAUGGGAUAUAAAACACCAGAGAUUUAGGUUCAACAUAAAACACCAGAGAUUUAGAUGGAAUAUAAAACACCAGAUAUUUAGAUGGAAUAUAAAACACCAGAUAUUUAGAUGGAAUAUAAAAUAACAGAGAUUUAGAUAGAAUAUAAAACACUAGAUAUUUAGAUGGAAUCUAAAACACCAGAGAUUAGUUUUAACAAAAAACAUUAGUGAUUAAGAUGGAAUAUUAAACACCAGAUAUUUAGAUUUUAUAUAAAACACCAGAGAUGUAGCUGUAAUAUAAAACUCCAGAGAAUUAGAUGGAAUUUAAAACACCAGAGAUAUAGAUGGAAUAUAAAAAAACAGAGAUUUAGAUGGAAUAUAUAACAACAGAGAUUAGUUUCAACAUAACACACUAGAGAUUUAUAUUCAACAUAAAACACUCGAUAUAUAGAUGGAUGUCACGUCCUGACCAUAGUAAGAUGUUAUUUUCUAUGGUAGAGUAGGUCAGGGCGUGACAGGGGGGUUUAUUCUAUGUGUUCUAUUUCUAUGUCGUUAGGUUCUAGUUUUUGUAUUUCUAUGUUGGUUUGUUUGGGAUGAUCUCCAAUUAGAGGCAGCUGGUCCUCAUUGUCUCUAAUUGGAGAUCAUACUUAAGUAGGGGUUUUUCUACCUGGGUUUUGUGGGUGAUUAUUUUUGAGUAGUGUUUGUUUCACCUCUGCGUCACGGUUUGUUGUUUUGUGUAUUCAGUUUAUUUAUGUAUUGCAUAGUUCACAGAGUAAAUAAAAUGUGGAACGACACACACGCUGCACUCUGGUCCGCUUCUCCUUUUGACAGCCGUGACAAUGGAAUAUAAAACACCAGAGAUUUAGAUGGAAUUUCAAACAACAGAUAUUUGAACUCUCCAUUAGUCUCCAAUACUACAGCACUCUAGUGUGUAUUAAGGGUUUAUAGGAAUGUGUUUAUUAUUAGGUACCUGGGAUAGGAUAUAGUAAUCCUUCUAACCCCCCCC
rnacentral:lncRNA from 1 species